UCCCUGAUGGUCCAGUAGUUAAGACUCUGUGUUUCCACCGCAGGAGGCAUGAGUUCAAUCCCCGGUUGGGGAA
rnacentral:tRNA from 1 species